rnacentral:rRNA from 1 species
AUGGACGAAAGUCUGACCGAGCAACGCCGCGUGAGUGAAGAAGGUUUUCGGAUCGUAAAGCUCUGUUGUAAGUCAAGAACGUGUGUGAGAGUGGAAAGUUCACACAGUGACGGUAGCUUACCAGAAAGGGACGGCUAACUACGUGCCAGCAGCCGCGGUAAUACGUAGGUCCCGAGCGUUGUCCGGAUUUAUUGGGCGUAAAGGGAGCGCAGGCGGUCAGGAAAGUCUGGAGUAAAAGGCUAUGGCUCAACCAUAGUGUGCUCUGGAAACUGCCUGACUUGAGUGCAGAAGGGGAGAGUGGAAUUCCAUGUGUAGCGGUGAAAUGCGUAGAUAUAUGGAGGAACACCAGUGGCGAAAGCGGCUCUCUGGUCUGUCACUGACGCUGAGGCUCGAAAGCGUGGGUAGCGAACAGGAUUAGAUACCCUGGUAGUCCACGCCGUAAACGAUGAGUGCUAGGAGUUAGGCCCUUUCCGGGGCUUAGUGCCGGAGCUAACGCAAAAAGCACUCCGCCUGGGGAGUACGACCGCAAGGUUGAAACUCAAAGGAAUUGACGGGGGCCCGCACAAGCGGUGGAGCAUGUGGUUUAAUUCGAAGCAACGCGGAGAACCUUACCAGGUCU